rnacentral:rRNA from 1 species
CCUACGGGUGGCAGCAGUGAGGAAUAUUGGUCAAUGGGCGCGAGCCUGAACCAGCCAAGUAGCGUGAAGGAUGACUGCCCUCCGGGUUGUAAACUUCUUUUAUAAAGGAAUAAAGUGAGGCUCGUGUGCCUUUUUGUCUGUACUUUAUGAAUAAGGAUCGGCUAACUCCGUGCCAGCAGCCGCGGUAAUACGGAGGAUCCGAGCGUUAUCCGGAUUUAUUGGGUUUAAAGGGAGCGUAGAUGGGUUGUUAAGUCAGUUGUGAAAGUUUGCGGCUCAACCGUAAAAUUGCAAUGGAUACUGGCAGUCUUGAGUGCAGAAGAGGUAGGCGGAAUUCGAGGUGUAGCGGUGAAAUGCUUAGAUAUCACGAAGAACUCCGAUGGCGAAGGCAGCUUACUAAACUGCCACUGACAUUGAUGCUCGAAAGUGUGGGUAGCAAACAGGAUUAGAUACCCGAGUAGUC